rnacentral:rRNA from 1 species
GGCAUGCGAGUCACGCCGCAAGGCGUGGCAUACGGCUCAGUAACACGUAGUCAACAUGCCCAAAGGACGUGGAUAACCUCGGGAAACUGAGGAUAAACCGCGAUAGGCCAAGGUUUCUGGAAUGAGCCAUGGCCGAAAUCUAUAUGGCCUUUGGAUUGGACUGCGGCCGAUCAGGCUGUUGGUGAGGUAAUGGCCCACCAAACCUGUAACCGGUACGGGCUUUGAGAGAAGGAGCCCGGAGAUGGGCACUGAGACAAGGGCCCAGGCCCUAUGGGGCGCAGCAGGCGCGAAACCUCUGCAAUAGGCGAAAGCCUGACAGGGUUACUCUGAGUGAUGCCCGCUAAGGGUAUCUUUUGGCACCUCUAAAAAUGGUGCAGAAUAAGGGGUGGGCAAGUCUGGUGUCAGCCGCCGCGGUAAUACCAGCACCCCGAGUUGUCGGGACGAUUAUUGGGCCUAAAGCAUCCGUAGCCUGUUCUGCAAGUCCUCCGUUAAAUCCACCUGCUCAACGGAUGGGCUGCGGAGGAAACCGCAGAGCUAGGAGGCGGGAGAGGCAAACGGUACUCAGUGGGUAGGGGUAAAAUCCAUUGAUCUACUGAAGACCACCAGUGGCGAAGGCGGUUUGCCAGAACGCGCUCGACGGUGAGGGAUGAAAGCUGGGGGAGCAAACCGGAUUAGAUACCCGGGUAGUCCCAGCUGUAAACGAUGCAGACUCGGUGAUGGGUUGGCUUCGGGCCAACCCAGUGCCGCAGGGAAGCCGUUAAGUCUGCCGCCUGGGGAGUACGGUCGCAAGACUGAAACUUAA